GACAGUAACAUUAGUGUUAAUGGACCUGUUGUGGGUCAUUUUGUCUGUAGAUAGAAAUGAACAUCUACAGCUGAGCUCAUGAUAUCAGUCUUAUGUUUAGACAAAACAAAUAUGACAUCAGAUGUCGAUGUUAGUGCGUCUACGCUAAGUCAUCUUUAUCUGUACAAGAAACACUGUAUCAUGAAAAUGGGAUUCGCACUGUAUUUGUUAUUUUCCAAGUAAUGUGCGUAUACCUUUUUUAUCAGCAUGGGUGUGGCAAUAUCAAUGUUGAGGAAACAACCGAGGAUUUCUUGGAAAAGUAUGGCUGUAAAUACAGAUUGGGGAUUAUUGUACCAGUGUCCAGAUUGUAAAAAAUUAUUUCGUUCUUCAGAUACUCUUAAGAACCAUCAUUUAUUUCAGCAUAGAAAGCAGGCAGUUCUGAAAUGUUUUUACUGUGGAAAAGGAUUUAAACGUCUUAUUCACCUCAGAAAACAUGCACAGAAAUGUCGUUGUAGUGCUAAUUAAAUUUACAUUCUUUUAGCUGUUUUAUAUACCAACAAUUUGAUAUUGUUCAUGAGUGACUUAAAUAUGAAACAUUCUAGUGAUUUUGUGUCUGAAAAUAACUGUGUGUAAGAUAUUGUGAUUCAUAUUUUCUGUGAAUUUAUUUCUAGUGUAAAUUUAAACAUUAAGAAUUGCACCUACAGGUUUUACAUAUCAGGCAAAUAUAAUUGAAACUUGUAAUUUGUUAUAAAAUGAUGUAAAAUAAGAUAUUUUUUGAAGAUCCUAAUGAUUUCAUUUUCUGUUUUAGGAAUGAAUUAUAUAAUGUGGAAUAGUAGAUAGGUGUGUGGAAGUUGAAAUUUUGAAGCAAAACAAAGAAUCAGAUUAAAUAUUCUGGCUACAAAUAUGUUUGUCCUUACUUUGUGAUUGAUAAAUAUAUAUAUAUAAUGGAUUGCACACUCAGCAGUACGUAACUAAUUGUAUACAAUAAAACAAUUUAAAUUACUGGAAGUUCUAUAUUUAAGUUACUAUAUGGUGAAGCAGUAAAAACCCCAUAGGUAUUGGAAGUUCUGUCUAAACAAAAUGUCAUUGUAUUUUUAGUAAAACAUUUGAAAGUGUCAAACGUUGUCAUAAGAAAUCCUUAUCGUAUUCUAAGAUCUUUAUUUCUGAACAGUUCAGUUCAAGAAAAAUUUAGCCAAUAUUUUCAUCUAUAGAUCUGGCAAAAUAUCUACCUCUUUUAGAGCUUUUUAAAAGUAAAAACUUAACAUCAAGUGCUUUUUUUUAUGAAAAAAAAGUUUUCAUUUAAUUUUUCCAAUAAUGUGUUUAAUAAGUUUUGAAGGAAGUCAACAACUUCUUUUAUCUAGUGCCAAAUGUUUCAAGGGUCUUGGACUCUUGUACUACUGUAUCUAACCGCCUAUAUCACAUAAAGACAAUAAAACAUUA